rnacentral:lncRNA from 1 species
CGAGCUUCUAAUUUCCAAGUUACAGAGACACUUAUAGGUCUAGUUGAGACCAUCUGACGUCAUCCUCAAUUGCAGAUUCAUAGGAUAAUAAUCCACGAGCACUACCAGUACCGCAAGCUGGCCAACGACAUCGCUCUGUUGAAGCUGCGGACGGAGGUGGCGUUCACCGACUACAUCCAGCCCGCCUGCCUGUGGUACCGGCGCGCGGCAGACGUGUUCAACACUACCACUAUACUGGGCACUAUAGUGGGCUGGGGCUUCAACAGCAACGACACGCUGUCGGAGACCCUGAAGCAGGCCAGCAUGCCGAUGGUGUCGGAGAGCACCUGCAUCAAGAGCAACCCGCUGUUCUACGGCCGCGCGCUCAACGGCAAGAAGUUCUGCGCGGGCUUCCAUAACGGAACUUCAGCAUGCAACGGUGACAGCGGAGGCGGGUUCCAGGUAAGCCUUCGAAUUAAGUAGGUAUCUCCUCGUAGGUGAGUUAUGUUACACAACUACCAUGAUAUUACUGAUAUUUAAUUCCUUUAAUUACGUCCUUGAUUAAAAAUAAAUGUUAAUUAACCAAUUCCAUACCCGUAAACAGUAUAUUUAAUUUGAUAUAAAAUACUUUUAACCCAAUAAGUGAAGGCUUACAGGUACUCAGAUCAUCAUCAUCAUCAUCAUAUCAGCCGAUGGACGUCCACUGCAGGACAUAGGUAUUUUGUAGGGACUUCCAAACAUCACGAUACUGAGCCACCUGCAUCCAGUAGUACUCAGAUCCUUUACUGUAAUUCAAUCCGAGCAAAGGAGUAGGAGCCCGAGCUUAGUCAGCUAUAUGUCAUGAAAUCUUGGGAUUCUGAAGUUCUGGGUUGGGUUAAUCGUCGUCGUUAUCAACCCAUAUUCGGCUCACUGCUGAGUUCAAGUCUCCUCUCAGAUU